ensembl:lncRNA
UUGGGGUAGAGGGUUGGGGUAUUGUAGGACUGAGGCUGGGUAAAGGGUUGGGGUAUCAUAGGACUGAGGCUGGGUAAAGGGUUGGGGUAGAGGGUUGGGGUAUUGUAGGACUGAGGCUGGGUAGAGGGUUGGGGUAUCAUAGGACUGAGGCUGGGUAAAGGGUUGGGGUAGAGGGUUGGGGUAUUGUAGGACUGAGGCUGGGUAAAGGGUUGGGGUAGAGGGUUGGGGUAUUGUAGGACUGAGGCUGGGUAAAGGGUUGGGGUAGAGGUAUUAUAGGACUGAGACUGGGUAAAGGGUUGGGGUAUUGUAGGACUGAGGCUGGGUAAAGGGUUGGGGUAGAGGGUUGGGGUAUUAUAGGACUGAGGCUGGGUAAAGGGUUGGGGUAGAGGGUUGGGGUAUUGUAGGACUGAGGCUGGGUAAAGGAUUGGGGUAUCAUAGGACUGAGGCUGGGUAAAGGGUUGGGGUAUUGUAGGACUGAGGCUGGGUAAACAACACACGUCUGUUGUAUGACUGCACACACACACACACACACGUCUGUUGUAUGACUGCACACACACACACGUCUGUUGUAUGACCUCACACGGCCGGGCGCUUGACACUGAGGAGAUACCACAUAUGUAAAUGAUGUGUUAAUUUUAAUAUCAGCUGUGAAAGGACUCCGGGCCAUCCCCUCUACCCUGCACCUCCCCC